CACGUAGGGCGCAAGCGUUGUCCGGAAUUAUUGGGCGUAAAGAGCUUGUAGGCGGUUUGUCGCGUCUGCCGUGAAAAUUCGAGGCUCAACCUCGAACUUGCGGUGGGUACGGGCAGACUAGAGUGUGGUAGGGGAGACUGGAAUUCCUGGUGUAGCGGUGAAAUGCGCAGAUAUCAGGAGGAACACCGAUGGCGAAGGCAGGUCUCUGGGCCACUACUGACGCUGAGAAGCGAAAGCAUGGGGAGCGAACAGG
rnacentral:rRNA from 1 species